AUGUAUCUGAUGUGACCCAGACUGCAAAAUAGAUGCAACACAACAUAAUGCAUGAAGUCCCAGACAUAAGGGAGAGUAGUAGGAUUGGUCGAAACGAUCGUCACACAU
rnacentral:hammerhead_ribozyme from 1 species